UACAGGGGGGGCAAGCGUUGUUCGGAAUUACUGGGCGUAAAGGGCUCGUAGGUGGCCAACUAAGUCAGACGUGAAAUCCCUCAGCUUAACUGGGGAACUGCGUCUGAUACUGGAUGGCUUGAGUUUGGGAGAGGGAUGCGGAAUUCCAGGUGUAGCGGUGAAAUGCGUAGAUAUCUGGAGGAACACCGGUGGCGAAGGCGGCAUCCUGGACCAAUACUGACACUGAGGAGCGAAAGCUAGGGGAGCAAACGGG
rnacentral:rRNA from 1 species